rnacentral:rRNA from 1 species
AAGGGCACCACCAGGAGUGGAGCCUGCGGCUUAAUUUGACUCAACACGGGGAACCUCACCAGGUCAGGACAUGGGAAGGAUUGACAGAUCGAGAGCUCUUUCUUGAUUCUAUGGGUGGUGGUGCAUGGCCGUUCUUAGUUGGUGGAGUGAUUUGUCUGGUUGAUUCCGUUAACGAACGAGACCUUAACCUGCUAACUAGUCGUGCCGUUUCUGAACGGCGAGGGUUGUUGGUCGGUGCGACGUCUGUUGCAUCAGUUGGUGCCUUCACACUCUCCUCUCCGGUGGCGACUUCUUAGAGGGACACUCGGCAUCUGUUUCUAGC